CGCAAGCCUGACGGAGCAAGACCGCGUGCGGGAUGACGGCCUAAUGGUUGUAAACCGCUUUUCUCUGGGAAGAUGAUGACGGCACCAGAGGAAUCAGCCUCGGCUAACUCCGUGCCAGCAGCCGCGGUAAUACGGAGGAGGCAAGCGUUAUCCGGAAUUAUUGGGCGUAAAGCGUCCGUAGGUGGUUAUUCAAGUCUGCUGUCAAAGCGUAGGGCUUAACUCCAUAGAGGCAGUGGAAACUGGAUGACUUGAGUGCGGUAGGGGUCGAGGGAAUUCCCAAUGUAGCGGUGAAAUGCGUAGAUAUUGGGAAGAACACCAGUGGCGAAAGCGCUCGACUGGGCCUGCACUGACACUGAGGGACGAAAGCUAGGGGAGCG
rnacentral:rRNA from 1 species